GAUGUCACUGCAGGCUGGGAUGGGACUUUGGGAAAUUAAUUAGUGUGAGCCCUGAUCGAUAAGGGUCAUAGUUUAUGUAUUUCAUUAUCAAGUCUCUAAGAGAUUCAGGGAGUAUGCGGAGAGUUUGUCACCCGCAGUCUGGGGCACAGCAGGCUGGUGCUCAAAUAGCACUCGAUGCACAAAGUUUGCUGAUCCUGGGCAUUGUGUGCAAUGCAGUUCAACCUGUACCAUAAGAAAAUUCUAUCACUGAAAUUAUAUUGUGAAAGUGUGACUGAGGGAGUUCAUUUUGCCAUUCUUGUGCAGCAGAGGCGAAAUAUCAGAUGCAGAUAUUGAAGCUUAGCUUUUAUUUAACAUUAAUGAUCAAAUCAUCAACAUACAUAUACAAAUAUUUUAUUAUUUUUUAAUUUCCAGAUCUUUGCUAAUAUCACUACAUCAUCCUCUAUUAGUUUAGAGGGAUAUAUGAAGUGACAACGUGUGUCUGUAUCUGUGAUCCACCCACCAAAGUCCAUGGGAGCCUAUGGCUCAACCCCUUUUCCUGCUGCAGCCGUACCGACAGUAAUGAACUACAGGACUCCUAAAAGGCCAAAGAGAAAGACACAGGCAGUCCCUGUGUGGUUACCAAACACGUUAUCUCUAGAUGUCAUUUCUGACCUACUUUUGCUAGACUUUUACAGCAGCAGAAAAUCUAUUCCUUAAAGAAUCAUCCUCACAGUCACAAUAACGAGAAAGGGAGAAAAAGUGAAUCUGGGAAUAUUUGAUUUCAUUUAGGACCUCUUCCUCCAUGAAUUACAAUAUUACAGGCUCUAAAUGCUUUCUCGUUACCCAUAAUUAUAACUAAAAUUAUAUCAAUCUAAACAGUAACUACUCAAAUGAUUCAUCCUGAUUGUAAAGAGCAUGCUCUCUAAGUUGUGCCUGCCCAUCCAUUUUAAAGCCUUGCGGCAGUAACAGCUUCCCAGAAGGUCAUUUAACAGCACAUUAAAUAAAUAAAUAGAACAUAUUCAUUUCAGCAAACACAUUCUGUUAGUAAAGGAAAGCAUUUUGGGAGAGGUAAGGAUAACCCUUGUGAAUCUUAAUCUCCGGGGUUCUUUGUUCUUGCAGAGGGUGCAGCACCCGCUCGGUGCAUGACAGCCUGUGUGCUGGCAGCAUGGAGCCUGUGCUGUGCAGGAGGGGUGGGCAGCCCAAGCUGAGCACAGGGAGGGGGCAGCCGGCCACCAGCACAGCCCAUCGUGCUCACCACGGGGCCCUGAGCACUCCUGUCCCUUCACAGUGCACUGCAUUUUGUGCACUCAGCCCCUGCCAUCAGCUGCAUGGUGUGAAGAAAGGUCUCCUCUACUGUACCGCGUGAUUCUGGCCCCUGAGCUAAGCUUAGGAGAACGCGGGACGAGAUAACGGGAAAGCAAUGUGGGCUCCAGCUCAGGUGUUCCUGGGGUGCGUCUGCAGAGUACAGAACACCAGGUGGUGGGGCUUACAGACUGCCUGGGAUGGUGGAAACUGCAUUUAAUAAAAACCUGAGGCCACUGCGUUGUAUGUGUCUCAGAAAACUCUUUGCUGAAGGUACUUUGCUAGGAGGCGAAGGCCAGAAAGCGACCUCCAGACUUCAGUAGCUCCGAGAUCACCAGAGCUCCUCUUUGCAGCUGCUGCAGGACACCUCCCUGCAGGAUGCCACAGAAGAGCUGUGACCGCACCAGCUGGGCUGGGCCAGCGGCGUGGGGGUGAGAGCCAAAAAUCUGCCAAAAGAAAACUCUUGCAUUUUCUGAGUUACUUCUUUUCAGAAGCCGCUGACGUCUGUGCAGGUAGCUCUGCAUGCCUUCAGUUCUCAGCUGUGACCCAGGUUGAGGGAAGCUGUUUGGCAUGUGGCAAUGUGCAGCGUGCACAGCGCGGAGAGCGCAGCGAUGGGGACCCACCCGCAUCACCACGUCGGGCUGAGACACACCGGCACUGGGGGCUGUGUGUGCACCUGAACCAGUGAUACCACCUGGGACCUAAGAGAGAGAUGUGCAGGGAACCCCUGGCCUUGGGGAAAGGGCAGGAUUUCUGCUACUUGUGCUGAGCAUGGUUGCGCCCUGAGCUCACCCCGGUCCUCGAGAUGACAUGAGAUGCACAGCAGCAAAGAGGAGCACGCAGGACAUUGGUGGACACAGAGCAGCACCCUGACAUGGAACUAAUGCCUGUGCACACAGACCAACCCCGAACGGGUCCGGGAAGGACCAAGGCCUUGGGAAGGGAAAACAGAGAGAGAACGUUUAUGUUUUUGUUUUCCGCUUUCCUAUAAAUAAAAUACAGUCAUCAAAUCA